UUUAUGGAGAGUUUGAUCCUGGCUCAGGAUGAACGCUGGCGGCGUGCCUAAUACAUGCAAGUCGAGCGAACGGACGAGAAGCUUGCUUCUCUGAUGUUAGCGGCGGACGGGUGAGUAACACGUGGAUAACCUACCUAUAAGACUGGGAUAACUUCGGGAAACCGGAGCUAAUACCGGAUAAUAUUUUGAACCGCAUGGUUCAAAAGUGAAAGACGGUCUUGCUGUCACUUAUAGAUGGAUCCGCGCUGCAUUAGCUAGUUGGUAAGGUAACGGCUUACCAAGGCAACGAUGCAUAGCCGACCUGAGAGGGUGAUCGGCCACACUGGAACUGAGACACGGUCCAGACUCCUACGGGAGGCAGCAGUAGGGAAUCUUCCGCAAUGGGCGAAAGCCUGACGGAGCAACGCCGCGUGAGUGAUGAAGGUCUUCGGAUCGUAAAACUCUGUUAUUAGGGAAGAACAUAUGUGUAAGUAACUGUGCACAUCUUGACGGUACCUAAUCAGAAAGCCACGGCUAACUACGUGCCAGCAGCCGCGGUAAUACGUAGGUGGCAAGCGUUAUCCGGAAUUAUUGGGCGUAAAGCGCGCGUAGGCGGUUUUUUAAGUCUGAUGUGAAAGCCCACGGCUCAACCGUGGAGGGUCAUUGGAAACUGGAAAACUUGAGUGCAGAAGAGGAAAGUGGAAUUCCAUGUGUAGCGGUGAAAUGCGCAGAGAUAUGGAGGAACACCAGUGGCGAAGGCGACUUUCUGGUCUGUAACUGACGCUGAUGUGCGAAAGCGUGGGGAUCAAACAGGAUUAGAUACCCUGGUAGUCCACGCCGUAAACGAUGAGUGCUAAGUGUUAGGGGGUUUCCGCCCCUUAGUGCUGCAGCUAACGCAUUAAGCACUCCGCCUGGGGAGUACGACCGCAAGGUUGAAACUCAAAGGAAUUGACGGGGACCCGCACAAGCGGUGGAGCAUGUGGUUUAAUUCGAAGCAACGCGAAGAACCUUACCAAAUCUUGACAUCCUUUGACAACUCUAGAGAUAGAGCCUUCCCCUUCGGGGGACAAAGUGACAGGUGGUGCAUGGUUGUCGUCAGCUCGUGUCGUGAGAUGUUGGGUUAAGUCCCGCAACGAGCGCAACCCUUAAGCUUAGUUGCCAUCAUUAAGUUGGGCACUCUAAGUUGACUGCCGGUGACAAACCGGAGGAAGGUGGGGAUGACGUCAAAUCAUCAUGCCCCUUAUGAUUUGGGCUACACACGUGCUACAAUGGACAAUACAAAGGGCAGCGAAACCGCGAGGUCAAGCAAAUCCCAUAAAGUUGUUCUCAGUUCGGAUUGUAGUCUGCAACUCGACUACAUGAAGCUGGAAUCGCUAGUAAUCGUAGAUCAGCAUGCUACGGUGAAUACGUUCCCGGGUCUUGUACACACCGCCCGUCACACCACGAGAGUUUGUAACACCCGAAGCCGGUGGAGUAACCUUUUAGGAGCUAGCCGUCGAAGGUGGGGCAAAUGAUUGGGGUGAAGUCGUAACAAGGUAGCCGUAUCGGAAGGUGCGGCUGGAUCACCUCCUUU
rnacentral:rRNA from 1 species